rnacentral:rRNA from 1 species
GACCUGCCCACUGAUAAAAUUUAAGGGCCGCGGUAUUUUGACCGUGCAAAGGUAGCAUAAUCGUUAGUUUUUUAAUUGGAAUCUUGUAUGAAUGGUUGGACAAAGGAAAAUCUGUCUCUAUAGCUAUAAAGUGAAUUUAACUUUUAAGUGAAAAGGCUUAAAUGAAUUAAAGGGACGAUAAGACCCUAUAAAGCUUAAUAUGGAAAGUUAUUUAGUUUAGUUGAAUUUUUAUGAUAUAAGUUUAGUGAUUGAGAGUAUUGUAUUGGGGCGAUAAAGGUAAAAUGAUUAUUAACUGCUUAUUGUUUAAACAAAAGUAAGUGAUUGAAGUUGUAAAGGAUCCUAGUUGUGGAUUAAAAGAUUAAGUUACUUCAGGGAUAACAGCGUUAUUUUUUUUGAGAGUUCAUGUCGAGAAAAAAGUUUGCGACCUCGAUGUUGAAUUAAAAUAUCUGUACAAUUGCAGUAGU